rnacentral:rRNA from 1 species
CCAGAGAAUCUAGCAGAGAUGCUUUAGUGCCUUCGGGAACUCUGAGACAGGUGCUGCAUGGCUGUCGUCAGCUCGUGUUGUGAAAUGUUGGGUUAAGUCCCGNAACGAGCGCAACCCUUAUCCUUUGUUGCCAGCACGUAAUGGUGGGAACUCAAAGGAGACUGCCGGUGAUAAACCGGAGGAAGGUGGGGAUGACGUCAAGUCAUCAUGGCCCUUACGAGUAGGGCUACACACGUGCUACAAUGGCGCAUACAAAGAGAAGCGACCUCGCGAGAGCAAGCGGACCUCAUAAAGUGCGUCGUAGUCCGGAUUGGAGUCUGCAACUCGACUCCAUGAAGUCGGAAUCGCUAGUAAUCGUAAAUCAGAAUGUUACGGUGAAUACGUUCCCGGGCCUUGUACACACCGCCCGUCACACCAUGGGAGUGGGUUGCAAAAGAAGUAGAUAGCUUAACCUUCGGGAGGGCGUUUACCACUUUGUGAUUCAUGACUGGGGUGAAGUCGUAACAAGGUAAGCGUAGUGCU